rnacentral:rRNA from 1 species
AUUGAACGCUGGCGGCAGGCCUAACACAUGCAAGUCGAGCGGAGCGGCGGACGGGGGGGUAAUGCCUAUGAAUCUGCCUUGUCGUGGGGGCUAACUUCCGGAAACGGUCGCUAAUACCUCCUACUAUCAUUUGUGCCUAGGUCUGAUUUCCUAGUUGGUGGGGUAAAGGCCUACCAAGUCGACGAUCCGUAACUGGUCUGAGAGGAUGAUCAGUCACACUGGAACUGAGACACGGUCCAGAGGCCUACGGGAGGAAGCAGUGGGGAAGAUUGGACAAUGGGCGAAAGCCUGAUACAGCCAUGCCGCGUGUGUGAAGAAGGGCUUCGGAUUGUAAAGCACUUUAAGUUGGGAGGCGUUACCAGCAGAAGAAGCACCGGCUAACUUCGUGCCAGCAGCCGCGGUAAUUC